UGAUUGGUUCGAAACAAAACACUCCGUGAGACUAACAUACUAUAAAGUAGAAACUAUAACCAAAAACCAGAUAUGAAGGAGAACUGAAGAAGAAGAAAGAACCUGAAUGGUGGGAGGAAUCAUGACCGGGAAAACCCGGGUAAAAUCAUUGCUUUUGCCAUACCCUUGUACUACAUGAUCAUAAUUCUGUUUCUGUUGCUGCUGUUCUUCUUCUUUUACUUCUACUUCUACUUCCUCUUCUGUGAUGAACAGGGAGAUUCUCUUGCUUAGGUCCGCAAAAAACACAUCAUCUUCCAUAUCCACCAUGCUGUGCUGAACUGAGCUGGGAUAGCUGCGAAACUGACUAGAUCU
rnacentral:lncRNA from 1 species